ACAAAGUAGCCUGAAGAUCCCUUCAGAUCACUGUUUUUGAAGGGGGGGCAGGGAAGUGACCUGCCAGUGGCGAUGCAGCUGCUGCAAGUAGGACCCCUGACAUUAGAGGUGCUGUCUGUCAGAAUAUAACUUUUUUUUUCCCCUAAGACCUCUUCCAGCUUUUGGGAACGUAUGUAUGUUUGAGCCAUUGCCACACUGUCUGGCAGGAAAGUACUGAUUUUUGUCUUCACAACACUUGCAGAGCAAGGCAGUGCAGUAUUGUUACCUUCUAUGCUGGUCAGCUCUUGCUGUUAAGGAGAGAAAGCUCAACUAGUUACUGUGGGGGACCCAGAAUCCAUACAGUGGUGCUGACUAAGCAAGGAUGGGCAAGCAAGCACAAAGAUUGGUCGCUAUCCCUAAAGGCAACGCAAUUGCUCUUAGACUGCAGUCAUAGACAGAUGUGCAGAAAGGCAAGUGGACAACAGAUGGAGCACGUGCAUUGUGUACUGGCAAUCUUGUUCUGAACUUCAUCUUCCAUGUGGUUGGCUCAAGUGAUUUCACCAGCAAGCAGCUAGGAAUAUCUUCUGUGAGCUGUAAAUCCUUUCCACAAGCUGCUGAUCCAUAGUUUCUGAGAAGAUCUGAGUGAGUAUCACCUUAUCACUGUAUUGCGGAUAACUGAAGUAUCUACACAGAGUGAUAAUAAUAUAAGAUCACAUUCCUCGUUGUUAAGAAUGGCAUGCUUUCUCUUACAAGUAAGUUUUGUUUGUCUCUUUAGUCCUUGUCACGUUCCAUAGUUUUAAUUCUCCCUGAUUCCAGAAUGGGCUUGAUCUCAACUCAAUUACAGGUUAGCAUAUAGAGUAGGCAAACGACCAGAGGCAAACAUGGGCAAGUAAUGAUUACAGAAAUGCAUGACUAUUUUUGUCCAUAUAUAAAUUAGUGGAUAAAUUGCUUUUCAGUAUUUUACUAAACUUUUUUUUUAUUUUAGGUAUAAUUCAUAUUAUCAGUCAUGUGCUUUGUUCGUGUCACAGUGUUAAGCAGGUUAUACGUUAGUGUGAAUCAUUAGGAGACUUUACUAGGUGUAUUUAAUGUUAUGAAUCAUAGAUUCACCUUUUAUCACAGGCAAGUCCCUUAUUUCUCGUAUCUGUGAAAAUGGGGCAUUCAGAACUUGCUGCCUUAUAUGACUGUUUUGCUUUCAUUUGCAGUUCAGAUUCUGCAGUAUAUAAGAGGACUUGUUUGGUGGGAUGUAGAAGUUCCAGCUAGGGAUUUGCUUCAGUACUUUGGCUCUUGUUUCAAUGAGUAUACCUGAGUGAAGCUCUGUUAAAUCUUUCUGCUCCUUGAGAGCACUUGCCUACAAGAGCUAAGCAAUGUCAGUGUUAAGCCUUUUUUUCCCUCAAAAAGUGCCUGAGAAUCUGACAGUCUGUGGCAGAAAUCUCCUGUCACUCCCAUGACUGUGCUGCUGUCGUAUGUUUGACAGUUCAUAAUGAUGUUGGUAAAUCCAAACUUUCCUUAUAUUUGGUAAAAUACAAGAGGUUUUAGAUGUGCUUGAACUGACAAAUAACCUAGAAUCAUUAGGAUUGGGUUGGAAACCAAAGGGUUGGUUAGGAAAUAAUUAUAUUUUUAGCAAACAAAACAGAAUAGUAAUAAAGAUGUCAUUUUGGCACCUUGCAGUAGAGUUUUAUUUUCAUCUUUUUAGUGUUCUACUCAUCAGUUCCUUCCAGGCUAAAGAGGUAAGUUUUAUCAAGAUCCCCACGCACUUUCACUAGAAGCCCCAUGUCACUCCAUGGGAUAGAGAAGGAACCAUUCAAGAUACCUCAAGAUCAUCUUCAAGACCUCUAAGAUCAUCUAGUCCAACCAUCUACCUACUGCCAAUAUUGCCCACUAAAUUAUGUCCCUUAAUACCACAUCUACGCUUUCUUUAAACAUCUCCAGAGAUGGUAACUCCAUUAUCUCCCUGGGCAGCGUUAUUGCUUUUUCAAAGAAAUUAUUCCUAAUAUCCAACCUGAACUUCCCCUGGCACGACUUCAGGCCAUUCCCUCUCAUCCUGUCACUGUUACCUGGGAGAAGAGGCCAACCCCCACCUCACCACAACCUCCUUUCAGGCAGUUGUAGAGGGCAAUAAGAUCUACCCUGAGCCUCCUUUUCUCCUGAUUGAACAAUCCCAGCUCCCUCAGCUGCUUCCUGUAAUACCUGUGCUCCAGACCCUUCACAGCUUUGUUGCCUGUCAACAAGUGAGGCUCCAGGGCCUCACUUUCUUGUACUGAGGGACCCAAAAGUGAACACAGUACUUGAGGUGCAGCCUCACCAGUGCCACGUACAGAUAGACAAUUAUCUCCCCAGUCCUCCUGACUGCAAUAUUUCUGAUACAAGCCAGGAUGACAUUGGCCUUCUUGGCCACCUGGGUACACUUCUGGCUCAUGCUUAGCCCUCCCCCUACAUCCAACUGGUCCUGUUACACAAGCAGGUCCACUGUCAGCUUUGGAAAACUGCUGGGGAGAUGAUUGUCUAUGAGAAUACUCUCUGUUCACCAAACUCACCCAGCCAACUGGAGAGGGAUUGUUCCUGAUGAGGAGAUAUCUCCAAAGCAUUUUAUCUUCUGUCUUCUUCAGUGUCCUUAAUCAGCUUCUGUGUCUUUCCUUUCUUCAGCAGCUCUGUGCACCACACCCCCACAGCACUCUCCUCAGCAUUGUGCCCCCAUUCAUUUCAGAGCAGCUUAAAUUGGUGCUCGGGUAGGAAGAUAUAGGAGAGCAUGCAGAAAGCAUUUGAAAGGGACGUGUAUUCAAAAUAUCCUGGGAGAUGCUGUACUGUGGUAUGGAUUUCCAACUGGAUAACAUUUUGCAUUUUAUGGUCCUGUCUGCAUUCCUGUGAUGCAUUGGGGAAAAUGAGGAUUUUUUUGUAUUUAAGUGGAGAAAGCCACCCAUGUGAGAGAAACGUUAAAUGAUCCAUUCUUCUCAACUUUUCUCAACUCAUUUUGCUCUUUCUGUUACUCCAGUGAAUCUCUCUAUCCCACAAGCAGCCAUUCAUGCGCAGCAGUUUUCCAGAGCUGACAGUGGACCUGCUUGUGUAGCAGGACCAGUUGGAUGUACGGGGAGAGUAUAAUGACCUGAUGGAUGUUGCAACACAUUUCUGCUGUGCAUGAGCUCAGCAGAGCUACAUGACAAAUGGUUUUUACUGCUCUGGCUUGCCAAAGACUUCAGUUUGUGCCUCCACCACCACUGGAGAGAUUUGUGGUUGCUCAUCACCUCAUGGAUCAGGUCUUUUUGUUAAUGAUGUCUGUGAGAACGUGUCAUGCUUGCUUACGGACACCACUUGAUGUUAAUUCCUUCAGGACUCAAGGAUAACGUGCCAGGAAUGAAGAGGAAUUGGUUGAGUUAACAAAGGGAAAAGUCACUAGCAGAAAUAAUAGUGGUGCUAUACUAGGUAUUCUUCUACUCCCAAAAGGCUAAGCUAAGGGCUGUUGAAACACAGUGCGAUCUAUUUUCCAGUUUUAUGUAUAUUUGCAUUUUGUUUUCAUGGAAAGAGGGGAAGGAAAGGUUUCACAGAGCCCAGUUGUUUGCUCUUGGUUUAGGCGAUGCUUGGUAGGUUUGCCUCCGAUGUCUUUGUUUUCAAGUGUUGCACACAAUUAUUUCCACUGAAGUCAGCAUUUCUGGAAAUCCAGGUCACUUAAGUCGUCUGACAGGGCGUGGAGCAUGACUACGUGACCUGCAGCAGCAAUCCAGGGCAAUGUGGGAGGGAAGGAUGAAGUCAGGAAGGGCCUUUUUCAUACAGGUCCUGCUGCUAAACAAACAGUUUGCAUGGCUUUCGUGUUUCCGCUGAUGACAACAGAACUUCUGACUAGAAAUAUAAUAGAUUUUGUGCUUCGCACUUAUGUUUUGCUGUGUUCACCUUGGUGGUUAUAACCCGGGAUCCUGAUCCUUCUUGUAAGAAAUGGCAGAAGCCCCACUGACAGCAGAGGGAGAGGAUGAGGUUCCCCACACGUUUUUUCCACUGGAUACAGAAAUAAAGCAGCAGACUUCAAAAUGCAGCUACUACAGUUUGUCAGGAUGUUUCUUUCCGUAUUCCUUUGCCCUUAAUGACUGCAGCCUCCAACGGACAAGGCAGGAAGAGGGUCAGAUGUCAUAGAGUGUGAGUAGUCAUCAAUUCUAACUUGUUCAAUCACGUAUGCAGUGAAGUUUAAGAAGGCAUGAGGAUUCUACUCCGCCUUCUCUUUUGUAUGGGUCCCGGUGGAAAAAUGGCUAACACCAGAAACAUCUUGGUGAUGUAUGCAUAGCCGGCCGUAAUACAAAGCUGGAUCUGGAGGAAGAGUCGUCUGCUGAUGUAGCACUUCAGGUCGUGUUCCUGAUAACACUGUUUCCUCUACAGAUGGGACAGGCCUCCAUUCCCCUCCUUGUCAGUGUCUGUGGUGUAAAAAUCCUUGCUUGAGUGAGGCCCUCCCUUGCUUCCUUUUAUUGGCAGCAGAGCAACAGGCCUUCUCAGGAUGUGAAUCAUUGGACCUCUUUGCAACGUUGCAUUGAGGUAAGAUUAAUGUUGUCUUCCCACUAGUGACUAAGGGAGCUCCAGUGUGACUAGAUUUGAUUUAGCGUCUGCUGUACAGAAGCCUACAGCUGCUCAGAGGCAUCCCUCUUGCCUGAUUAGAACUGCUUUCUUUGCUGCAGAAUUGAUUUUGGUGAUGCAGAUCCAUGCAAAUAAAGCAGAUGGGUACAAUUAUGUUCUAUUUGCCCUAAAGUUGGAUUUGCUGUCUGUAAAGAUGACACUGCUGUUCUCCUGUAUGGACUUGAUGACUUUGAAUGUCCUUUCCAACCUCAGUGACUGUAUGGCUACUGCUCUUCUACCCUGUGUGUGGCCAUGGGACAGCCCCAGCAUGCUUGGCAGGUACAUACAAUGCCCAAAAAUACCCAUGGGGAUGUCUGCAGGCUCCCUUCUGGACUUGUGCCUCAGCUGCAGUGUGAGCAUGUCCACGGUGUUGAAAGAUGCCUCGGGGACACGAUGCUCCUUCUGUUUUCAGGCUGUGAGUGCGUGAGUUGGAAGAAUUACACUAGGGUAAGUACAGUGCGACUCAGGAGAGCAACAUGUCCAUGUUUCUUCUUAGGAAGUAAAAUGCUUUACAGAAUGUCAUUGUUCACAUAGGGUAGCCCCAUUCUAGAGGGCACUGUGCUCUCUUCUCUCUUUAUCGAAGUGCUACAUGUUUUAAAAGUUCUUGUGUUGAAAGCUGCAGUCUGAGUAAUGGCGAAAAAGUUUGGGGCUGCAUACUUAGCUUCCAGAAAAUGCCCACAUGAAUGUCUCUGAUUAAAAUGGAGCGACCACAAGGGAAAUUCUCAGGACAGAUGACUUCAAAUUCAAAAUAAAAAUGUAGCAGGAAAUUAAAAAAGAAAGACCUAUGACCAAUACCCAUGAAGAAUCAUUUGACCAGUCUCUAGAAUUCAGCUGCAUAACAAAUCGAGGCAAACCACCAAGAAAUAUGCAUUUGUUAUGGUUUUUCAGUUACAUUUCUCAAGUUCAAACCACAUUAAGUAAAUAAAGCUGAUUCAGGGAAUUAGCGUAUUAAGGUUUUCAUUGAUGUAAUUGUAACUGCAAAACAUACUUUACAGUAUUAAUGUCAGCAUUCAAUCAUUGCUUUAACUCUGCAGUCAGUAUAAUUGGAUGCACCUGAUAAUUAAAAGCUCAGUCCUGAUUCCUUGAUGCUUUCAGAACUUCCCUGAGCCUGUCAGUGGCUGUUUGUAUUUGAUGUGUGUACAGCUAAUAGAGAUUUGAAUGCUGAAAACUCAAAUUGUUCUGACAGUGAUGUCUCUUUUGUGUCUGUGGUGAUUUUCCUCUGGGGAGAUGGUGAAUACCCACCUGUUGUGAAUAAGCAACAAGUCACAAACUGUCCUGUUUCAAGCAAUAGCAUGACUUAGAAAUAAUUUCUUAGAAACUGGGAGGUGAAUCUUCUCCAUUGGUUCACUGGUACGUUUGAUCUUUUGUGUUUACAAUACCUGUGUGGCACUGUUGGGUGCAGAAGCACACUGCUGCCACAUGCACAGUGCUACUCAAUGGGACAUCUGGCCACUGAAAAGUACAGUGGGGAAAGAAAAUAAUACUUGGUUCUCUUUAUAAGCCUCAGAGAACAAAUAAUACAGUUGCAAGAUUAUAUUCUUUUAGGCUUUAGAAUAAAACAGUUCAGCUAGAAGGAACUUUCAGGGAUCAUCCAGUCCUGCUGUUCAUCCACUUCAGGGCCAAACAAAAGUUAAAGCAUGUUACUAAGGGCAUUGUAUAAAUGCCUCUUGAAUAUGACAGGCACAGGGCACCAACCGCCUCUCUUGGAAGCCUGUUCCCAGCAUUUGAUCAACUUCAUGGUAGUGACGUUUCUCCCAGUGCUCAGUCUGACUUUGCCCUGGAGCAGGUUUGUGCCAUUCCCAUCCUGCCAUCAGUUCGUGGGAGCAGAGCCCAGCACCUCCCUCUGCUUCCCCUUCUCAGAGCUACAGGGAGCAAUGAGGUCACCUCUCAGCCUCCUCUUCUCCGGGCUGGGCAAUCCAAGUGUCCUCACUUCUCCUCACAGGACACACCUUUUAGCCCUGCUACCGGCUUGUCCUCCUCUGGAUACAAUAUUCACACAGUAUUCAAGGUGAGGCUGCACCAGUGCUAAAUAUAGGUGGGAGAAUCACCUACUGUGAUCAGCUGGCCAUGCUGUGGGCGUUCUGGUGGAUGAAAAGCUGGACGUGAGGCAGCAGUGUGCACUUGCAGCCUGGGAGGCCAACAGUGUCCUGGGCUGCAUCAACAGAGGGGUGGCAGCAGGGAGAGGGAGGGGAUUGUGCCCCUCUGCUCUGCCCUGGGGAAUGCCACUAGUGACCGUCCACCAGCCGGCUGUAACCCCAUCCACUACAAGCCUUUGAGCUCUGAUAUCAAACCUGUUUGUCACCCAACGCAGCAUGAUCAUGCUCAUCUUGCAGUAGAGCAAUUUGUCCAGAAGGAUACUGUGAGGAACAGUAUCAAAAGGCCUUUCAAAAAUCCAGAAGGAUUACAUCCACUUCCUUCCCUUCGUUCACCAAGUGGGUGACCUUCACAUGGGAGAUAAGUCACUGAAGACGUUCCCUUUUUGAAUCCAUGCUGACUAUGCCUGAUAACAGCUUUGUUCUCUAAACGCCUUUCAACAGAACCAAGGAUUAUCUUCUCCAUAAUUCUUCCAGGUACUGAGGUUGGACUGACAGGGCUGUAGUUUUGUGAGUCAUUUCUUGUGCCCCUAUGGAUGAGUGUAAGACCUUUGGAAAGCUGCUGAGAGGGAUCCAGCUAUAAUGUCUGCUAAUUUCUUCUCUGAAUGAGAUUUCCAGAUGUACUCAACAUUAGAAAAUGUUUGUGAUGGUGAAAAUUCGAGUUUAUGGUAUAUGAGUGCACAUAUACAUUAAAAAUAUGAUUUUGUGUAUGUGACAAUAUAACACUGAUUUUAAUGGAAAAUCAUACAUCUUGAGUACACUGUCCUUACAGCAUUUAAAACUGCCUGUUUCAGUGUGUUUGUUGUUUGCACGUAAUGGCAUGCUCUUCUAAGUGACGAAGGCUAACUUUUUUUUUUUUAUGAAAGCAAAAUAAAGCCUUUUAUUACUUUCCAUCUCCCUGCCCCAACAGCCAGAGAUGAAUUGAAUUUCUCAGAACUCAGAGGAUUAUUUUGUUUCCUUUAGGCUAAGAGCAAGCAUGAAAGAUGUCAAGUGAGGGCUGAUGCUAUAUGCUCAAAGGGGCUGGGAUGUUUCCAGGCACGGUGAGUUCCUGCACGCUCAAGGGAACAUGCUGAAGAAAGCUGGCAGUGAGGUAGGACAGUUCCUUUCUCUCCGCUUUUCUGUAUGACUGGAUAAAUACAAACAAGAACCAAGUGAGCGAAUUAUUCUGGCCUAAUUUGGACAAGCACUUUAAGCAGUAACAGGUUCUCUAUGAAGUCAGUCAAAACCUGCAUGCUUGACAUCUUUAUGUUGUGUUGCCAAGAUCUUAUCCGAUUUCUGAACACGUAAGAACUCCGCUGCUGGGUCGGUCUCUUUUCUGUUCUCCUCCCCCUAGAGUAUACUUUUAGGGCUGUGGGGCUACUUCAUUCAAAGUUAGAGUUCAAGAUCACAAGUAAUAAGGCCCAAGUUUUGAAUCCUCAACUCUUGCAGGUUCAAAAUUUAUCAGAGGCAACAGGCAUGGUGUAGGACUGACAAUUGCGCUUUCCACAUAAAACAAGGCAAAAGCCUUGUAGUAGGCAGAGAUAAAAAGCAGUUCCUCAAAGACCAGAAGAUAAUGAAUAAAUGUACCUCAUCCCCUUGCAUCACCCUAAAGGCAGUAUAAAGUUUGCCAGUGAGAAUCCAACCAAACAUGAGUCGGAAACCUCGUCUCAUUAUUUGUACAGAUACUUACUGAGAUAAAAGAGAUCAUAAAGCACUUUGAGGUCUGCAAACUGCCUGAUGCUGCAGCAAGAGCAAUCCUUUCCUACCAUCUCCUGUGUGACUUGGAAGGCUCUCAGCAAGCCCAGCUGUGCGUAGCUCUAUAAAAAGCAGUCAGGAGCAGCAUAUUUAGAGAAAAACCAGCAUGUGCUACCAUUGUCAAGAGCUGAUUAAGUUUUUUUGUUUCCCUUAGAGCAUUUCAGAAGACCAAAGUAUUUUUUUUCGUGGAGAAAAAAAAAUGAAAUGAGAAACCACAACUUUGGGGUAAAAAUAUUUUGCUUAUGAAAACUGGAAAUGAUUUUGGGAAGUGGUUUUUAAAGAUUCUUCUUUUAAAUAGAAAAUGGUUUCAAGAAAACAGGAGAAAACUCAAUUUUAAGACCAGGCUUCUUUGUCCAAAAGGAAAGCAUUUUGUGAGGGGGAAAAAAGGGGAAAAAAUGAUCUUGUAAUCUCCUACAAAAAUGCUUGGCCUUUCUUCAGCAUUUCUUUGUCUUUGUUUGCAUCUUUUUCCACAUCUUAAUUGUCGUAGUUCAGCCUUCCCAAGAUGCAUUGUUAUUUAUCAAGGAAUUGUGUUAAAUACGUCAUUCUUUCACAGGAAGGUGGAAAGAGGAAUGUUGCUGUUGCAAAACAGCAUUCCUGGGUGCAAGUCGCUCUGCUAAAGCUCC
ensembl:lncRNA